UACGAAGGGUGCAAGCGUUAAUCGGAAUUACUGGGCGUAAAGCGUGCGCAGGCGGUUCCAUUAGACAAAUGUGAAAUCCCCGGGCUCAACCUUGGAACUGCAUUUGUGACUGUGGGGCUAGAGUACGGUAGAGGGAGAUUGAAUUACGCGUGUAGCAGUGAAAUGCGUAGAUAUGCGGUGGAACACCAAUGGCGAAGGCAAUCCCCUGGACCGGUACUGACGCUCAUGCACUAAAGCGUGGGGAGCAAACAGG
rnacentral:rRNA from 1 species